AAGAAUUUGCUGUUUUAGUAUUUGUCCAGUAGGUUCUCAAAGAGAAAGAACCCAC
rnacentral:snRNA from 1 species